AGGCAUUUGUGUGCGUAGCUUCAAAUCUAUGUCUAGUGGCAUGGUCCAUUUGCGUUCUGCUUAUAGACCAUGUUGCUCACAUACAACCUGCGGCCAAAGAGCAACUUGAGAUCAUAGUACUGGUCUAGUGAUGUCGAAAGACAAGCUUACCACUGAUCAGCCUCCAAACUCUCAUACAUGU
ensembl:snoRNA small nucleolar RNA SNORA23